rnacentral:tRNA from 1 species
GGGCUAUUAGCUCAGUUGGUUAGAGCGCGCCCCUGAUAAGGGCGAGGUCUCUGGUUCAAAUCCAGAAUGGCCCCA